AACAUGAAUGUAAUUGGAAUAGCCCUAAUGGUUUUUGUAAAAACAAAAACAAAAAAACAAACAAACGAAAAAGACAAUUUUGAUUCUUCUUUUAAAUCAGAGAACAGCCUUUUUAAAAAGUAUCCACUGCUGGAAUUUUUUUUUCUCUAAAAAAAUACGAUUCUACUUGCUUUUAGAUCUCCCACACACUAACCUAAUACAAAAAACCAAAACAAAAAACGCAAAACUCUUGGGGGGAGGGUGCCGUCCUCAGAACCUGGGAAAGAUUACUAUUUGAAACCAUAUUACUUAAAGUUUAUAACUCCCAGACUUUAUCUCAAUUUAAAAAAACUUUAAGAGGUGAUUAAAAUAGUUACUGCUUUGAAGGUAAUUACCAUUAUUAUUCAUUGACCACCUACUGUGUGCCAAGGGUUGUAUUUAAAUGCUUUUAAAGCAUUAGUUCAUUGACUCGCUGGAUCUGAGCUUUUUAAACACCACCCCUAUUUAAACUUAAGCCUGUUUAGGGCCAUCACUUCUGUAUUUUCAUAAUAUCAUUAUGCCUUUUCUGCUGGAGCCAGCUUCAAAGCCCAUACUGAAGGAGAAACUGGAGCUGCCUUCCUGGUACAAGUUUAAGUGCAUGCCCAGAUGGUUUCUACUUACAAUGUUUCCUCUUUUGUAAAUGCACAACAUUCACCCAAAGAUCGACCAUAAUGGAUUGUGAUUCUUCAGGUACAAUGAAGGCUGAAAAGGAAGACUGGUUGCAGAACCACAGCAAAGGAAUGACAUCGCUGAUGCUAAAGAGAAAUGACCGGAGAGUAUGGCAGGACCAGGGAUGAUGAUCGCCACCAGGGGUCACAAUAGCCAAUUUGGAUCAAUCAGAGUAAAGGAAGAUGACUCCAACCAACCAGGCAGCACAACCAGAAGCUUUUAUCCUGUAUACCUCGCAGUUGGCCAAGAAAUGAUCUGCUCAACUUUCCUAGUGAUGACAGGAGUGUGGUGACAGCAUUUUAAAAACAAGGUGAAUAUAGUGUACGCAUUACGACAGAGCUGCUGACAGUCGUUGGUGCUGUUUUGCUAUCAAAGUGUUUAAUUUUGCUUGUAUGUAUUAACGUUUUAGUGGUCACGAUCCCCCAAAUUCCUGCUUCCCAAAGGAUAGAACUCAAGUUGGAAUUCUUACAAAGGAUUCACUGUGUGGAA